rnacentral:tRNA from 1 species
GCCGACGUAGCUCAGCUGGUAGAGCAACGGUUUCGUAAACCGUAGGUCACGGGUUCAAAUCCCGUUGUCGGCU